rnacentral:misc_RNA from 1 species
UAACCAAUUAAUGCUCACCCCUAAGUGCAAGUGACAAUUGGACCUAUAAAUUUAGUCCAGUCUAGUUGUACUUGAGGGGAGAGUGUUGGACGUCAUGCAUUGGUAACAAUAAGAAAAAGAUGAGAAAAUAUAUAGCAAGGGAAAGCCGCCAAAUUGGCUUGAGCCAUUUUGGUGCAGACAACUCCAAGCUCGACGCAUAGACCUUUGCCAAUUGUCAACCGCACUAUCAGGAACCGGGUCAGAGAAUUUCACACUAACAAUGAUUGACAAAUGUUGGAGCCAAUGGGUGUGUCACAUCAAAUAGGUCCUUAAAGCUAAGUUACCUAAUUGCAAGGAAUAAUCUGGUUUGUGCUUGUCAUACUUAGCUUAUCCUUCUAUCUUCCUUAUUUUCUUUGUGAGUAAUGAUCUUUUGCAAACAGAACCUUCCUCUUUGCUACUGUUAUGUCAUUUAGAAGAGAAACACCACCUCACUUUUUCUAUAAUGUUGAAAAACUAGAAUUUGCUUUGUUGAUGAACAAUAUGUAGGCUCAAUGGCACACUUGUUAUUUAUAUGUUUGAUCUAUUAAUGUUCUAAUUUUUCUAGUCUGAAUAAACUUUCAUUGUUUCCCAUCCAAUGAAGGUUGUUGAUAUCCAACUUGGG